rnacentral:rRNA from 1 species
CCUGGCUCAGGAUGAACGCUAGCUACAGGCUUAACACAUGCAAGUCGAGGGGCAGCAUGGUCUUAGCUUGCUAAGGCCGAUGGCGACCGGCGCACGGGUGAGUAACACGUAUCCAACCUGCCGUCUACUCUUGGACAGCCUUCUGAAAGGAAGAUUAAUACAAGAUGGCAUCAUGAGUCCGCAUGUUUACAUGAUUAAAGGUAUUCCGGUAGACGAUGGGGAUGCGUUCCAUUAGAUAGUAGGCGGGGUAACGGCCCACCUAGUCUUCGAUGGAUAGGGGUUCUGAGAGGAAGGUCCCCCACAUUGGAACUGAGACACGGUCCAAACUCCUACGGGAGGCAGCAGUGAGGAAUAUUGGUCAAUGGGCGAGAGCCUGAACCAGCCAAGUAGCGUGAAGGAUGACUGCCCUAUGGGUUGUAAACUUCUUUUAUAAAGGAAUAAAGUCGGGUAUGGAUACCCGUUUGCAUGUACUUUAUGAAUAAGGAUCGGCUAACUCCGUGCCAGCAGCCGCGGUAAUACGGAGGAUCCGAGCGUUAUCCGGAUUUAUUGGGUUUAAAGGGAGCGUAGAUGGAUGUUUAAGUCAGUUGUGAAAGUUUGCGGCUCAACCGUAAAAUUGCAGUUGAUACUGGAUAUCUUGAGUGCAGUUGAGCAGGCGGAAUUCGUGGUGUAGCGGUGAAAUGCUUAGAUAUCACGAAGAACUCCGAUUGCGAAGGCAGCCUGCUAAGCUGCAACUGACAUUGAGGCUCGAAAGUGUGGGUAUCAAACAGGAUUAGAUACCCUGGUAGUCCACACGGUAAACGAUGAAUACUCGCUGUUUGCGAUAUACUGCAAGCGGCCAAGCGAAAGCGUUAAGUAUUCCACCUGGGGAGUACGCCGGCAACGGUGAAACUCAAAGGAAUUGACGGGGGCCCGCACAAGCGGAGGAACAUGUGGUUUAAUUCGAUGAUACGCGAGGAACCUUACCCGGGCUUAAAUUGCAGAUGAAUUACGGUGAAAGCCGUAAGCCGCAAGGCAUCUGUGAAGGUGCUGCAUGGUUGUCGUCAGCUCGUGCCGUGAGGUGUCGGCUUAAGUGCCAUAACGAGCGCAACCCUUGUUGUCAGUUACUAACAGGUUCCGCUGAGGACUCUGACAAGACUGCCAUCGUAAGAUGUGAGGAAGGUGGGGAUGACGUCAAAUCAGCACGGCCCUUACGUCCGGGGCUACACACGUGUUACAAUGGGGGGUACAGAGGGCCGCUACCACGCGAGUGGAUGCCAAUCCCCAAAACCUCUCUCAGUUCGGACUGGAGUCUGCAACCCGACUCCACGAAGCUGGAUUCGCUAGUAAUCGCGCAUCAGCCACGGCGCGGUGAAUACGUUCCCGGGCCUUGUACACACCGCC